ACCAGACUCCUACGGGAGGCAGCAGUGGGGGAUAUUGCACAAUGGGGGGAACCCUGAUGCAGCGACGCCGCGUGGGUGAAGAAGCGCCUCGGCGCGUAAAGCCCUGUCAGCAGGGAAGAAAAUGACGGUACCUGAAGAAGAAGCCCCGGCUAACUACGUGCCAGCAGCCGCGGUAAUACGUAGGGGGCAAGCGUUAUCCGGAUUUACUGGGUGUAAAGGGGGCGCAGACGGCGAUGCAAGCCAGGAGUGAAAGCCCGGGGCCCAACCCCGGGACUGCUCUUGGAACUGCGUGGCUGGAGUGCAGGAGGGGCAGGCGGAAUUCCUGGUGUAGCGGUGAAAUGCGUAGAUAUUAGGAGGAACACCGGUGGCGAAGGCGGCCUGCUGGACUGUGACUGACGUUGAGGCUCGAAAGCGUGGGGAGCAAACAGGAUUAGAUACCCUAGUA
rnacentral:rRNA from 1 species